UACGUAGGGCGCAAGCGUUGUCCGGAAUUAUUGGGCGUAAAGAGCUCGUAGGCGGUUUGUCGCGUCUGCUGUGAAAACUCGAGGCUCAACCUCGGGCUUGCAGUGGGUACGGGCAGACUAGAGUUCGGAAGAGGCGAGUGGAAUUCCCGGUGUAGCGGUGAAAUGCGCAGAUAUCAGGAGGAACACCGGUGGCGAAGGCGGAUCUCUGGGCCAUUACUGACGCUGAGGAGCGAAAGCGUGGGGAGCGAACAGG
rnacentral:rRNA from 1 species